AUUGAACGCUGGCGGCAGGCUUAACACAUGCAAGUCGAACGGUAACAGGGGUAGCUUGCUACUUUGCUGACGAGUGGCGGACGGGUGAGUAAGGUAUGGGAAUUUGCCGAAUGGAGGGGGACAACAGUUGGAAACGGCUGCUAAAUACCGCAUAACGUCGCGAGACCAAAGGGUAGGACUUUCGGGCCACCUGCCAUUUGAUAAGCCCAUAUGAGAUUAGCUAGUUGGUGUGGUAAG
rnacentral:rRNA from 1 species